rnacentral:rRNA from 1 species
AGGUUAAGUUAUUAAGGGCGCAUGGUGGAUGCCUUGGCACUAGGAGCCGAUGAAGGACGUGACUAACUGCGAUAAGCUUCGGGGAGUUGUAAGUAAACUGUGAUCCGGAGAUUUCCGAAUGGGGAAACCCAGCAGGAGUAAAGACCUGUUAUCACUGAGUGAAUACAUAGCUCAGUUGAAGGUAGACGUGGGGAACUGAAACAUCUAAGUACCCAUAGGAAGAGAAAGAAAAUUCGAUUCCCUGAGUAGCGGCGAGCGAAAAGGGAACAGCCCAAACCAGAGAGCUUGCUCUCUGGGGUUGUAGGACUGGACAUUUGAGUUACCAAGAAACGAAGUAGUUGAAUGAUUUGGGAAGAUCAGCCAGAGAAGGUGAUAGCCCUGUAAGCGAAACUUCGUUUCCUCAGCCCAGUAUCCUGAGUACGGCGGAACACGUGAAACUCCGUCGGAAUCCGGGAGGACCAUCUCCCAAGGCUAAAUACUCCCUAGUGACCGAUAGUGAACCAGUACCGUGAGGGAAAGGUGAAAAGCACCCCGGGAGGGGAGUGAAAUAGUUCCUGAAACCAUGUGCCUACAAGUAGUCAGAGCCCGUUAAUGGGUGAUGGCGUGCCUUUUGUAGAAUGAACCGGCGAGUUACGUUAGCGUGCGAGGUUAAGGCGCAAAGGC